rnacentral:rRNA from 1 species
UACGGGGGGGGCAAGCGUUGUUCGGAAUUACUGGGCGUAAAGGGCUCGUAGGUGGCCAACUAAGUCAGACGUGAAAUCCCUCGGCUUAACCGGGGAACUGCGUCUGAUACUGGAUGGCUGGAGUAUGGGAGAGGGAUGCGGAAUUCCAGGUGUAGCGGUGAAAUGCGUAGAUAUCUGGAGGAACACCGGUGGCGAAGGCGGCAUCCUGGACCAUUACUGACGCUGAGGAGCGAAAGCCAGGGGAGCAAACGGG